rnacentral:rRNA from 1 species
AUGAAAAUCAAUGUCGACAAAUACUUGAUAUCAGCAUUAGUGGAACGUUGGCGGCCCGAGACAAAUAGUUUUCACAUACCUGUUGGAGAAAUGACUAUUACACUGCAAGACGUCGGUUGUUUGUGGGGGCUGCCUAUCCAUAGUAAACCACUUGUUGCCAUAGCUAAUGUGCCAUGGUUGGUUUAG